AACGCUGGCGGCGUGCCUAACACAUGCAAGUCGAACGAAGCUUGACGGAUGAUUUCUUCGGAAUGAAACCAGAUAUGACUUAGUGGCGGACGGGUGAGUAACACGUGAGCAACCUGCCUUUCAGAGGGGGAUAACGGCUGGAAACGGUCGCUAAUACCGCAUGAUGUGUUCGGAUGGCAUCAUCUGAACAUCAAAGAUUUAUCGCUUAGAGAUGGACUCGCGUCCGAUUAGUUAGUUGGUGAGGUAACGGCUCACCAAGACUGCGAUCGGUAGCCGGACUGAGAGGUUGAACGGCCACAUUGGGACUGAGACACGGCCCAGACUCCUACGGGAGGCAGCAGUGGGGGAUAUUGCGCAAUGGGGGAAACCCUGACGCAGCAACGCCGCGUGAAGGAUGAAGGUCUUCGGAUUGUAAACUUCUUUUAUUAAGGACGAAGAAAGUGACGGUACUUAAUGAAUAAGCUCCGGCUAACUACGUGCCAGCAGCCGCGGUAAUACGUAGGGAGCAAGCGUUGUCCGGAUUUACUGGGUGUAAAGGGUGCGUAGGCGGCUUUGCAAGUCAGAUGUGAAAUCUAUGGGCUCAACCCAUAGCCUGCAUUUGAAGCUGCAGAGCUUGAGUGAAGUAGAGGCAGGCGGAAUUCCCCGUGUAGCGGUGAAAUGCGUAGAGAUGGGGAGGAACACCAGUGGCGAAGGCGGCUUGCUGGGCUCUAACUGACGCUGAGGCUCGAAAGUGUGGGGAGCAAACAGGAUUAGAUACCCUGGUAGUCCACACUGUAAACGAUGAUUGCUAGGUGUGGGGGGUCUGACCCCCUCCGU
rnacentral:rRNA from 1 species